CAUUGUUCCUAUUAGCAUUUGGAAAACUCAAAACGCAGCAAGACGAGUUUCAAGAAUUGAGCGGCAGUAGCCAUGGCCGAUGAUCAUAGUAAAUGGCGGCUACACACAAGCCAAUACCUUGGAGAAAUCUCUGCACUCUGUUUUCUUCACCUUCCUUCUCACCUCUCUUCUCUUCCUUAUCUCCUCGCUGGUUCCGGUUCGCAAGUGCUGCUUUUUGACUUAGAAGCGGGACAAUUGGUGAGGUCUUUCCAAGUUUUUGAAGGAAUUCGUGUGCAUGGAAUUACUUGUAAUUUCGUUAAUUGCGCUGAAGGAUCAUCGUCUGCUACCGUUGCUUUCAGAGUUGCACUUUUUGGUGAAAAGAAAGUCAAAUUAUUUAACUUCAACUUUGAAUUUAAAUUUCAAAAUCAAUCAGAUUUUAUUGUGGAUUUGAGUUUAGCUCAAGCGUUGCCGAGGUUGAGUCAUUGGGUUUUGGACGUUUCUUUCUUGAAGGGCCCUGAGGGUGGCCAUUGUCUUGCCAUAGGAUGUAGCGACAACUCAGUACGUGUCUGGCACAUUUCUAACUCAAGUGUCAUUCUUGAAGUUCAUUCUCCGGAGAUAUGUCUUCUGUAUUCUAUGAGAUUAUGCGGUGAUACCCUUGAUACUCUCCGCAUUGCAUCUGGUACUAUUUAUAAUGAGAUUAUUGUUUGGAAAGUGGAAUCUCUAUAUGUUGCUUCUCUUUUAACAAAUCUGGAGGAAGACCGCUCAAAUGUGAGUUCACUCUCCAAAUAUGUAAAGCUUCAUCAUCAGCAAUAUAAAGCAGUUAACAUAUUUAGACUCAUAGGACAUGAAGGUUCCAUCUUUCGCAUAGAAUGGUCUUCCGAUGGUUCAAAACUGGUUUCUGUCUCUGAUGAUCGGAGUGCUCGCAUCUGGGCAGUUCAUGCUAAACAGAAAGAUUCUGAUAGCAUAGAAGAGGAGGUUGUCAGCUCUGUAUUAUAUGGUCAUAAUGCUCGAGUUUGGGACUGCAGUAUUACUGAUUCUUUCAUUAUCACUGCUGGCGAGGAUUGUACAUGUCGUGUGUGGGGAUCAGAUGGUAAACAGCUUAAGAUGAUUAAGGAGCAUAUAGGAAGAGGCAUAUGGCGUUGUUUAUAUGAUCCAAUCUCUUCUCUUCUUGUCACUGCUGGAUUUGAUUCUGCAAUCAAAAUGCAUCAGCUACAUGCUUCAUUGCCUGGAAGCUUGGAGGCAUAUCCUGAGGCAAAAGAGUUUGAUGACAGAUCUGAUAUAUUCAGUUUGCGGAUCCCAAAUUUAUCAGAGCAUAUUCAGCUUAUGGACAGCAAAAGUGAAUAUGUACGUUGCUUGCGUUUCGCUCGUGAUGACACCCUUUAUGUUGCCACAAAUCAUGGUUAUUUGUACCAUGCCAAAUUAUCUGAUCAGGGGAAUGUGAACUGGACUAAUCUUGUCCAAGUCAGUGAAGGGGUGCCGAUUAUUUGUAUGGAUUUGUUGUCAAAAAAUAUGCCAGGGGAUGCCUGUGCCAUUGAUGAUUGGGUUUCUGUUGGAGAUGGGAAAGGGAAAAUGACAGUUGUUAAAGUUGUAGGUGACUUCUGUACUCCUCGAUUAGAUGUCACCUUUACAUGGUCAGCUGGAAUGGAGAGACAGCUCUUGGGAACCUACUGGUGUAAGUCAUUGGGAUAUAGGUUUGUUUUCACUGCUGAUCCUAGAGGAAUAUUGAAGCUUUGGCAGUUAAGUGAUCUGUUGUCAUCUGCUUGUCAAAAAUCUUCCACAACUUACAAUAUCUCUCUUAUUGCGGAAUUUUCCUCAUGUUUUGGAUUACGGAUAAUGUGUUUGGAUGCAUUGUUUGAGGAUGAGGUGCUGGUAUGUGGGGAUCUACGUGGUAAUCUGGUUUUAUUCCCUUUGUCAAGGGACCUGUUGCUUGGCACAUCUGCUGCAUCAGAAGUGAAGAUAUCUCCUCUAAGUUAUUUUAAAGGAGCUCAUGGGAUAUCAACUGUGUCAAACAUUUCAGUUGCUAGACUAAGUUCAAAUCAAAUUGAAAUUCGCUCGACUGGAGGAGAUGGCUGCAUAUGCUAUUUGCAAUAUGACAGGGAUCGUGAAAAUUUGGAAUUUAUAGGGAUGAAGCAAGUGAAAGAGCUAAGUUUGAUUCAAUCCGUCUCUGCGGGUAACAACUCUGUUGAUGAUCUGGCGAGCUGCAACUAUGCAGCUGGUUUUGCAUCAGCAGAUUUCAUAAUAUGGAACUUAAUAACUGAGGCGAAGGUUCUGCAAAUUCCAUGUGGUGGAUGGCGGCGUCCUCAUUCUUAUCUUCUUGGUGAUGUACCAGAGAUAAGGAACUGCUUUGCCUAUGUCAAGGAUGAAGUUAUCCAUAUUCGUAGACGCUGGACGCUGGAAAGUGAUAGGAAGAUGUUUCCUCAGAAUUUGCAUAUGCAAUUUCAUGGGAGAGAAAUGCAUACGUUGUGCUUUGUCUCUGAAAAUUCUCAAGUUGGAGCCAAUGUGGAGGAGAAUCCUUUUGACAGAUCUAGUUGGAUUGCCACUGGCUGCGAAGAUGGAACUGUAAGGCUGACUAGGUAUUCUUCUGGAGUUGAUAAUUGGUCUGCAUCUAAAUUGCUUGGGGAGCAUGUUGGUGGAUCGGCUGUCAGAUCCAUAUGCUCUGUGUCAGAAAUACAUCUAAUUUCUUCUGAUGUGAAGAACGCAUCUGAUGAUAUAAAUGGACAAAAAAGUGCAGCAGAGGAUGAAGAAAAGCUUUUCUUACUGAUAUCAGUUGGUGCUAAGCGGGUUUUAACUUCUUGGCUGCUAAGAAAUAGGAGGAUGGACAAUGUGGAAGAAACACCUGUUGGACAAAAACAUGAUAGAAGUAGAAAUGACUACAAACCUUCACUAGGAGCAUCCUCAACUUUGUCAUUCCAGUGGCUUUCCACUGACAUGCCAACCAAGAAUUCCAGUACUCAUGGAAAAUCAAAAGACGUUCAGAAACUGGUUGGCAUUACCAAAAAUGUUACUAAUAUGAAUACUGAUGCAAAUACUGGAUCAAGUUUUCCAGAAGGUGGGGAGACAGAAUCAAAAACGUAUCUUGGGGAUAAAUAUGAAGAUGACUGGAGAUACCUGGCCGUCACUGCGUUUCUGGUUAAAUGUCCUGGGUCCAGGUCAACUGUCUGUUUUGUUGUUGUCGCCUGUUCAGAUGCCACACUUUCAUUACGGGCCCUCAUUUUACCACACCGAUUAUGGUUUGAUGUUGCAUUGUUGGUUCCUCUGUCAUCACCGGUAUUGACAUUACGGCAUGUAAUCAUACCUAUACAUCAUGCUUCUAAGGAGGAUUUUCAAAUUGGAUCUGUAUAUUAUGUGAUUAGUGGGGCCACUGAUGGAAGCACUGCCUUCUGGGAUCUGACUGAGAGUGUUGAAGCUUUUGUGCGGCGAGUUUCAACUCUUCAGAUUGAUAAGUUCAUUGAUUGUCAGAAACGACCAAGGACUGGAAGGGGAAGUCAGGGUGGACGAUGGUGGAGAACUUUAAGCAGUACCAAGCCUAAGAAAAAGCCAGGCUGUAAUUCAAAUACUGUGCAAUCUGGAGAGGGAGAUUAUUGUGAUACACUAAAUCAUGCCACAUGCAGUGUGUCAACAAAAUCAAACGAGACGGAAAAGGGCACUGUCAAAGCUUUGCAUAAUGCUAUCUCUGAGCGAGAGUUGAACCCUGUUGAUCCUGCUUCUGAAAUAUGUGAAAUUCGGCCUAUACAUGUUAUGAGUAAUAUUCACCAAUCCGGUGUCAAUUGUCUCCAUGUUUCAGAGAUGAAAAACUGUCGAACAAGUGAUUGUGAUUUUCAGUUCUGUGUAGUAAGUGGAGGUGAUGAUCAAGCUAUUCAUUGUCUUAAAUUUGAUUUGUCUCUGCUAUCUACUGGUUUGGAUUCCAAGAUUAUUGCACCAGAAGUUGUAAAUUCGAUCACUGAAUCCGAAAAUGUAAACAUAAUUUAUUAUGGUCAAAAGCUGAACAAGAGUUAUAGGAUCAGAUUUUUUAAUAAUUACAGAGUUCCCUCUGCGCAUGGCUCCGCUAUAAAAGGAAUUUGGACAGAUGGGGCCUGGGUGUUCUCUACCGGUCUUGAUCAACGAGUCAGGUUCUGGCUUCUCGAGGAGCAAGAUAAACUGAUCGAGCAUGGUCAUUUAAUUGUUUGUGUGCCAGAGCCAGAAGCACUGGAUGCUAGAGCUUGUGGCAGAAACCGAUAUCAGAUUGCUGUAGCUGGAAGAGGAAUGCAAAUAGUUGAGUUCUCUGCAUCUCAUGCUGUGAAUGUGUGACAAUAAAGUGGCUUCUGGUGAUUGUGAUUUCAAUCCAUACUCAAGGUGAUGAGGGAGCCAAUUAUUUCAGCAUAGCCAGGGUCGGCAAGAUGAUCAGCAAGGUUCUCCAGAGAUUCCUUUCCAGUUACAAUAGCCUGCACAAAGAACCCAAACAUAGAGAAGAUGGCAAGCCGCCCAUUCUUAAUUUCCUUAACCUUGAGCUCAGCAAAUGCCUUGUGAUCUUCAGCUAGUCCCGAGGGGUCAAAGCUGCCACCUGGGUAGAUGGGGUCAGUUACCUCCCCAAGCGGUCCACCAGCAACACGGUAUCCUUCAACAGCACCCAUGAGGAUAACCUGGGUGGCCCAGAUUGCUAAAAUGCUCUGAGCAUGGAUCAGACUUGGUUUUCAAGAUAGUCAAGACUCAAGACGAUCUUCACUGAAGAUUUGAGCACCGGCCUUGAACCAUACUGCCGCUUCAAAUUUGACUCCAUUUCUGGAGAGGAGUUCUGGAAAGACACAUCCCAAAGCCCCAGUCAUUGCCCACCUGGAAUGGAUGACUUCAAGUUCUCGGUUUUUGGCAAAGGUUCCAGGAUCUGCUGACAGCCUGGCUGUGUCCCACUUGUAAUCACCUGGGAAUUGACCAGUUAGGUAAGAUGGGGCCUCUCCACAGAAUGGUCCAAGGUACUUGACACGGUCAGGACCAUACCAGGGGCUUC